rnacentral:lncRNA from 1 species
CUUGCUAUCUUAGAGAAGUCUUUGACAAACUUGCGGUAAUAACCGACGAAACCAAGGAAGCGACGUACUUCUUCUGGCGUUGUGGGUCGAGGCCAGUUGAUAACUUUCUCUAGUUUAUCUGGAUCGGGUGAAAUACCAUCUUUAGAGACAAUGUGACCGAUGUACUUAACUUUGUCUUUGAAGAAUGCACAUUUCUUGGGCGAAAGUUUCAAGUUGUGUUCUCUUAGUCGUUGUAGUACCAUCUGUAGUCUUUCAAGAUGUUCUUCAUACGUCUCAGAAAAGAUGAUCAAGUCGUCAAGGUAUAUAAAGCAUAUAUCUAGGUGAAGAUCUCCAAGUAUC